GAUGAAGAACGUAGCGAAAUGCGAUAAGUAAUGUGAAUUGCAGAAUUCAGUGAAUCAUCGAAUCUUUGAACGCACAUUGCGCCCGCCAGUAUUCUGGCGGGCAUGCCUGUUCGAGCGUCAUUUCAACCAUCAAGCCCCCGGCUUGUGUUGGGGACCUGCGGCUGCCGCAGGCCCUGAAAAGCAGUGGCGGGCUCGCUGUCACACCGAGCGUAGUAGCAUACAUCUCGCUCUGGGCGUGCUGCGGGUUCCGGCCGUUAAACCACCUUCAUAACCCAAGGUUGACCUCGGAUCAGGCAGGAAGACCCGCUGAACUUAAGCAUAUCAAUAAGCGGAGGA
rnacentral:misc_RNA from 1 species